AAUCAAUAACAUGCAAUUUAAUUUCUUUGCUUGCUGGCUUUUCUGAUUACAAAUUUCUUCCUGUUAGGUAAACAUUUUACAACUACUAACCUCACUAACAACAAAAAAAUAACAAAAGACCUAAUGUGAAUUCCCAUAAUACACUUCCUACAUUAAACUAUCCAUGACUUGUGAUUCUUUUUCCUGGUUAAUGAACAAGUGGCCAUCAAUAUUCGGUAAUGAUAUACCAUUUCUAACCAGUUUUUCCCAAAUUGGAAGGUCUUGCUUCUCCUGCUCUUGGACUAAAUGG
rnacentral:misc_RNA from 1 species